rnacentral:rRNA from 1 species
AUUGAACGCUGGCGGCAUGCCUUACACAUGCAAGUCGAACGGUAACAGGUCUUCGGAUGCUGACGAGUGGCGAACGGGCGAGUAAUACAUCGGAACGUGCCCGAGAGUGGGGGAUAACGAGGCGAAAGCUUUGCUAAUACCGCAUACCAUCUCAGGAUGAAAGCAGGGGACCGCAAGGCCUUGCGCCCACGGAGCGGCCGAUGGCAGAUUAGGCAGUUGGUGGGAUAGAAGCUUAACAAGCCGACGAUCUGUAGCUGGUCUGAGAGGACGACCAGCCACACUGGGACUGAGACACGGCCCAGACUCCUACGGGAGGCAGCAGUAGGGAAUUUUGGACAAUGGGCGCAAGCCUGAUCCAGCCAUGCCGCGUGCAGGAUGAAGGCCUUCGGGUUGUAAACUGCUUUUGUACGGAACGAAAAGACUCUGGUUAAUAGCUGGGGUCCAUGACGGUACCGUAAGAAUAAGCACCGGCUAACUACGUGCCAGCCGCCGCCGUAAGAC